CCUACGGGAGGCAGCAGUCGAGAAUCAUUCACAAUGGGGGAAACCCUGAUGGUGCGACGCCGCGUGGGGGAAUGAAGGUCUUCGUAUUGUAAACCCUUGCAGUGUGGGAGCAAAUAAUAAAGAUAGUACCAUAAGAGGCAGAGACGGCUAACUAUGUGCCAGCAGCCGCGGUAAUAAAGAGGUCUCAAGCGUUGUUCGGAAUCACUGGGCGUAAAGCGUGCGUAGGCGGUUUGGUAAGUCGGGUGUGAAAGGCGCGGGCUCAACCCGCGGACGGCACAGGAUACUGCGAGGCUAGAGUGAAGGAGGGGGAAGCGGAAUUCUCGGUGUAGCAGUGAAAUGCGUAGAUAUCGAGAGGAACACUCGUGGCGAAGGCGGGUUCCUGGACAUUAACUGACGCUGAGGCACGAAGGCGAGGGGAGCGAAAGGGAUUAGAUACCCUUGUAGUC
rnacentral:rRNA from 1 species